rnacentral:rRNA from 1 species
UACGGAGGGUGCAAGCGUUGUUCGGAAUUACUGGGCGUAAAGAGCGCGCAGGCGGUCGUUCAAGUCGCGUGUGAAAGCCCCCGGCUCAACUGGGGAGGGUCACGCGAUACUGAUCGACUCGAAGGCAGGAGAGGGUAGUGGAAUUCCCGGUGUAGUGGUGAAAUGCGUAGAUAUCGGGAGGAACACCAGUGGCGAAGGCGACUACCUGGCCUGUUCUUGACGCUGAGGCGCGAAAGCUAGGGGAGCAAACGGG